UACGUAGGGUCCGAGCGUUGUCCGGAAUUACUGGGCGUAAAGAGCUCGUAGGUGGUUUGUCGCGUUGUUCGUGAAAACUCACAGCUCAACUGUGGGCGUGCGGGCGAUACGGGCAGACUAGAGUACUGCAGGGGAGACUGGAAUUCCUGGUGUAGCGGUGGAAUGCGCAGAUAUCAGGAGGAACACCGGUGGCGAAGGCGGGUCUCUGGGCAGUAACUGACGCUGAGGCACGAAAGCGUGGGUAGCAAACAGG
rnacentral:rRNA from 1 species